CUGGCUCAGGAUGAACGCUGGCGGCGUGCCUAACACAUGCAAGUCGAGCGGACCUUAGAGAGUGAACAGCUUGCUGGGAUCUCUCGAAAGGUUAGCGGCGGACGGGUGAGUAACGCGUGGGUAACCUGCCUCAUACAGGGGGAUAGCAGUUGGAAACGACUGGUAAUACCGCAUAAGCGCACAGUACCGCAUGGUACGGUGUGAAAAAACUCCGGUGGUAUGAGAUGGACCCGCGUCCGAUUAGCCAGUUGGCGGGGUAACGGCCCACCAAAGCGACGAUCGGUAGCCGGCCUGAGAGGGCGGACGGCCACAUUGGGACUGAGACACGGCCCAGACUCCUACGGGAGGCAGCAGUGGGGGAUAUUGCACAAUGGAGGAAACUCUGAUGCCAGCGACGCCGCGUGGGUGAAGAAGUAUUUCGGUAUGUAAAGCCCUAUCAGCAGGGACGAUAAUGACGGUACCUGACUAAGAAGCCCCGGCUAACUACGUGCCAGCCGCAGC
rnacentral:rRNA from 1 species